AUGUUUAUCGAGAAUAUACAAUAUAGUGACAAUAAAUAUAUUAUUGGAAAUAAUUCGUUUAAUAAAAAUGCUUCAUAUAUCUUCAAUACGGAAAAAAAAAGAAAAAAAAAAAACUCCAAAGGUUUAUUAAUAAAUACAGAACAACAUGUUAGCGAUGAUUACUCAUAUGAAAUAACUAGAAAAUCAUCUUUGGGUUUAUACAAUGAUACAGAUAUGUAUAAUCAUUAUUAUCAUACCAGUAGUGAUAACAUUAUGAUAGAAACAAUUAGGAACAAUUAUAACACUAAUAUUACUCUUAACACUUCUGAUUCGAAAAAAAUAGAUCAUUAUUAUUUACUUGAAAAAGAUAAAAACAGGAAUAAUAGUAUUACUGGUGUUAAUGAUAUUAAAAAGAAGCACAAUAAAAGUAGUGGUAGUAUUAGUAGUAGUAAUUAUAAUAGUGUUAACUACAAUAACGACAUCAACAAUGUUACCCCACCAGAUAUAAUGCACUUCUUUUGUUCCAAUGAUCCUAUAUAUACAACAUCACCUAACGUAUCUAUAUAUUCAUAUACAGAUAACGUUUCAAAAAAAAGAAAAAAAAAAAAAUAUAUAUAUGACAGUAUUACUGAAAAUGGUCAAAUUUUAAAUAAAAAUGGUUUAAAUAAAAAUGGUUUAAAUAUAAAUGGUUUAAAAAAAAUAAAAGAAAUAAAUAAAAACAAAUUGUAUUUUGAUAAGAUAUCAUCUUCUAAUCAAACAUCUGACACUAUCCAUAAUUAUAACAAUAUUAAUCAAAUGUUUUAUUACAAUAUGCAUGGUAAUAGUUAUGAUAAAGAAAAAAUAAAAAAUGUUAUGAAUAGUAACAGUGACAUGGGGAAAUUGUUUAAUAUACUAAAUUCUCCUAUUUGGUCAACGUAUAAAUUUAAUAACAACAGUAGUAGUAGAUGUAAUAGCUGGGACAGUAGUAGUAAACGCAAAGCUAAUUCCUGCUGUGAUUUUUCUAAAAAAAAUAAUAAAACAAUCGAAGACAGUAAUAACCACAUAAAAAAUUAUUUAUCUGAUAGUAAUCUAGAAAUAAAAAAAUAUAAAAAAAUAAUAUAUGAAAGAAAUCGUAAAUAUUAUGACAAAAUAAAAAAAGUAUACAAAUUUUUACAUUAUAAUAUGGAUAAUAAUAUGGAUAAUAAUAUGGAUAAUAACAUAGAUAAUGUGGAUAAUAACAUGGAUAAUGUGGAUAAUAACAUGGAUAAUGUGGAUAAUAAUAUGGAUAAUGUGACCAAUAAUAACAUGGAUAAUGUGGCCAAUAAUAAUAAUAAUAAUAAUAAUGAAAAUUACAAAUUGGGUGAUGACAAUGACUAUAAAUUAGAUUAUUCUGUAAAUAAUGAACCUAUAAAUAGUACUUAUGAUUUUAUUUAUAACGAACAUAAUGUUUAUACGAAUCAAAAUAUACAUUAUUCCCCCAAUUAUUAUCAUAAAAAUCGGUUAAAUAUGGUAGACUCAAUUGAUGAUGGAAAAGACCAAAAAAAAAGAGGGAGAAAAAAACGAAAAAUGGAACUUCUUCAUAUGAACAAUUUUUAUAACAAUAAUUAUAAUAAGGUACUACCAUAUAAUAACAAUUCUAAGGGUUAUAUAAAAUAUUAUAAUAAUAUAAUAGAAAAUGGUAAUAACAAUAUUAUGAAUAUUUUAAACAAUGAUAAAAAUCCAUACAGUCACGACAAUGGUAAUAACAAUGACAACAGUAAUGACAAUGACAACAUUAAUGACAAUAACAACAGUAAUGACAAUGACAACAGUAAUGACAAUAACAACAGUAAUGACAAUAACAACAGUAAUGACAAUGACAACAGUAAUNNNNNNNNNNGUAAUGACAAUAACAACAGUAAUGACAAUGACAACAGUAAUGACAAUGACAACAGUAAUGACAAAAAUAACAGUAAUGACAAAAAUAAUGACAUAAACUAUUAUAAAGAAUAUGAAAUAAAUAAUAGGUAUAAAUACAAUGGAAAUAGUAAUGAAGCUAAUGAUGAUUGGGAAAAUAACAAAAAUAACAGUAUGCCGAUGUAUAAUACAUUUUUUGGUAAUAAUGAUCCUAGUGUACAUUAUACAGACAAUAGUGAUAAGCAUAGAUUUAUUAGCAGUAUGUGUAAACAAGAAAUAAAAACAGGCACUAGUGCCAAGAGUUUUACUCAUAUUGACUAUUACAACAAAACAAAUGAACAUUGGAAGAAAAAAAAAAAAAAAAAAGAUAAAGACAGGGACAGAGAUAGAGAUAGAGACAAAAACAGAGACAACGACUUUAACAGUGAAAAUUCUAACUGGUCUAACGAAACAUCAAAUAGUGAUAUUAAUGAUAUAAAUCAAAUAAAUUAUUCAAAUGAUUAUGAAGAAAUAAAAAACUAUUUUAAUGAUGAAAAAAAAUAUAAUUUAUUAAAUGGUCACAUGUCUAGUAUGACAAACGGUGAAGAAAAUAAUUUUCCUCAACACGUUAAUGGUAAUGUAUACUAUGACAAUGAAUAUUAUGGCAAUGAAUAUUAUGGCAAUGAAAUUUAUGGUAAUGAAAUUUAUGGUAAUGAAUAUUAUGAUAGUACAUAUGAUGAAAAAAUUUCAUUUAAUAAUAAAUAUCUUAAUAAUAGUGAAUAUAAUGAUAAAAAACAGUAUAACUGUUGUUAUAGCAAUUAUAAUGGUAGUAUCUUAAAUUAUCCUUAUUCAAUACAAAAACUAAUGACAACUUUACCAUCUUACAACAUAAGCAACGAAAAUAGUAAUGAACUAAAUGGAUAUAUUAGUCCACUUAAAAAUAAUACACAUAAAGAGGUUGAUAAUAAAUAUGUUAUAAAACAGAAUUAUUAUGAUGGAGAUAUUAGUACAAAUAGCACAGACGUAAUUUUAGACCAACAUACUAACAUGAUUAAAUAUUUAUCUUACGAUAAUAAAAAUUAUAAAAAUACUAGUAACUAUAAAUAUAUAAACAAAAAUCAAAACGUCAACAGUGAUAUGAACGGCAACAGUAAUAUUAAUGUUAGUUAUCCAAAAGGGAAAAUGUCAUUAUACUUACAAAAUAAUAUUAAAAAAUCAGAAAAAAUUAAAGAAAAACUUAAAAAAAAAUUUAAAGAAAAACUUAAAGAAAAAUAUAAAGAAAAAUAUAAAGAAAAAUAUAAAAAUCAGAUUGGUAUUAACAACAUUGGUUCUGAUGAAUAUGUUACAUUAGAAAUGGAUUAUAAGCAAAGUACAAAUAUUAUAAAAAAAAUAAUUAAAAAUCAAUGUAAACAGCUCAGUCGUGGUAGUAAUGCAAGUACUAGUAGUAAUAGCAGUAGAACUGAUAGUAACAAUGAUGAAACAUAUAAUUAUACAAAUAGUAUACUAUUACGUAAUAAUAAAAAUAAUAAAAGUGGUAAAAAUAAUGAAAACCAUCAAAAUAAGCUUUUAAAACUGACUAUGCUUAAUUCGAAAAAUUUAGAAAAACAUAUAUUAAGUAAUCGAUUAAUCAUAUAUUCACGAGAUAUGCCCUUAGGAUUUAAUGUUGAUGAAAUAAACCCAAAUAGUAUAAUUUUUAAUAUAAACGACGAAAAUGGGGGGUUUACAAAUAAUAACAAUACCUAUGCUAAUGACUCCUAUAGAAAUGGUAAUUGCAAUAAUACGUAUAGUAAUUCAUAUAGUAACACUUAUAGUAACACAUAUAGUAAUACAUAUGGUAAUAUAUAUGAUAACAUUCAUACAAGCUUAUAUAAUAAUAACACCAACAAUAAAACACAUAACACAUGUAACACAAGUAAUGGUAACAAUAGCAGUUACAAAAAUAACAGUGGCAAAAAUAGCAGUUACAAAAGUAACAUUGUUGGUCAUACUAAUAAUACUAACAAUUACCAUAAUAACAGAAGCAAAAAAAAUAACCUUAACAAUCGCAACAAAGAUAUAAAUAAUAACGAUCUAAGAAAUAAUAAUAAUAAUUAUAUUUAUUUUAAGUAUGUUCAUAAUAUGAAUUCUGAUGAAAUUAAUAAUAAUAAUAAUAAUAAUAAUAAUAAUAAUAAACAAAAUUCAAAUAAAACAAAAAAGGUAGCUUCAUAUCUUUUAUCAUUUGAUUAUAAAAAAAUAAUCGAUGAAGUUGGUCUAUUUAAUAAAACAUUACAACACCAAAUACCAAACAUACAGUAUAAUUUUAAAAAAUACAUUGAUCAGCCUGUUAAUGGAAAUUUAGAUGAAUAUAUAAGUUUGGAUGAUCAUAUAAACUUCGACGAACGUAUAAGUGAAGAUGAGCAUGUAAGUGAAGAUGAGCAUGUAAGUGAUGACGGACAUACAAGUAAUGACGCACAUACAAGUGACACCUUUAAAACAUAUCGUAAAAACGAUGCAUACAAAAAAAGUAAAAAAAUAGAUUUACGAUAUACAAAAUAUACAGAUGAUAAAAACCGAUUACAAAAAAAUGUAAAUAUAAUUGACAAACAGUAUUAUAAACAAGAAAAUAAAAAUAAACAAAAAAAUAAUUUAUUCAAACAAGAACAAAACUAUGAUCAUAAUUUUGUUACAAAUUCUAAAAAAAUUAAUGCUAAUAAAAUAAAUAAUAAUACACAUGUAAAUAAUGAUUUGAGAGAGGUUUUAUCAAAUGAAGAAAGUGAUAGGAAUAAAGACGUUGAUGUUAUGGCUAAAUGUAGGGGAAUAAAGGUAGAUAGACAUACGGAUUAUUCUGAUCCUAGUGAUGGUCUUACUACUAGUUUUAAUGAAAAUGAAAGCAGUAAAGAAAAAUAUUUUUGUAAAGAUAGCAACAUUUUGGGUACUAACAUAAAGGAAGCUAAAAACCUAAACAUAACCAAUCUGUUAAAUACAAACACAAACGAUUUCUUAAUAGGACAUUAUACAAAAAUAACUACUGAUAAUAAUAAAUAUCAAGAAUUUAUAAAAGUCGACAAAAAAAUGAAUAAUAAACGAAAUAUUAUUCAUCAGGUUAAUAACAAAGAGGAUAAUAGUAUAAAAAAAAAACAAAUAAGAAAAAAAACACCAAUAACAACAUCAAUAUCAACAACAGCAACAACAGCAACAACAGCAACAACAGUAAUAAGUGAUAUAGUAAAAAAUGAAGCAGGACCCACUAAAUUAGAUCCAAAUUAUAAAAUAUUACCAACAGUACAGACAGACGAAUCAAAUUAUAUUAUAAAAAGUUUUUUAUCUACACAGCCAUUACAAGAAAUUAAUAAAAACGAUGUUACUCAUGAUAGUAAUUGUAUUACUGAUGAUAAUAACAGUAAUGAUUUUUAUGUAAUUCCCAAGUGUUCAAAUGUAAUUGUAAAUGAAGAAAACACGGCCACUAACGGUAGUAGUAAUAGUAGUAAUAGUAGUAUUAGUAAGAGUAAAAGUAGGAGUAAAAGUAGGAGU
rnacentral:lncRNA from 1 species